rnacentral:misc_RNA from 1 species
GAUGAAGAACGCAGCGAAAUGUGAUACGUAAUGUGAAUUGCAGAAUUCAGUGAAUCAUCGAAUCUUUGAACGCAUAUUGCGCUCUCUGGUAUUCCGGAGAGCAUGCUUGUUUGAGUAUCAGUAAACACCUCAAUUCCCCUUUCUUUUUUUGAAAUGGGAGCUGGACUUGAGUGAUCCCAACGCUUUUCUCACCGAAAAGUGGCGGGUUACUUGAAAUGCAGGUGCAGCUGGACUUUUCUCUGAGCUAAAAGCAUAUCUAUUUAGUCUGCCUAAAAAACAGAUUAUUACCUUUGCUGCAGCUAACAUAAAGGAGAUUAGUUCUUGUGCUGACUGAUGCAGGAUUCACAGAGACAGCUUCGGAUGGCCUUUGUAAACUCGAUCUCAAAUCAAGUAAGACUACCCGCUGAACUUAAGCAUAUCAAUAAGCGGAGGA